rnacentral:tRNA from 1 species
UCCCUGGAGGCUCAGACGAUGAAGCGUCUGCCUGCAAUGCAGGAGACCCAGGUUUGAUCCCUGGGUUGGGAA